rnacentral:tRNA from 1 species
GGGUGUUUAGCUCAGCUGGGAGAGCACCUCCCUUACAAGGAGGGGGUCGGCGGUUCGAUCCCGUCAUCACCCACCA